rnacentral:lncRNA from 1 species
UUUUUUUUUUUUUUUUUUUUUUUUAAAGCAGAAAACAGUGUUCAAGUUUAUUGAAGGAUAAAACACAAAUAUACAAAUUUGCAAAUAAGCCAAGAACUAUAGGCAAAACUUUGUGGAAGAAUGCCCUUUAAACCUCUACUCUGGUAGAAUGUUAAAUUCCAAUGAAAUAUGUCAUUUUUUUAGCAAAAUAUAAAGUACUAAAAUUAACACAUGUUUGAAUACUUAUUUGUAACUGUACAGAAUAUCUCUAGAAAGAUGCAUAAGAAACAAAUAAGGGUUGAUUCUUGAGAGAAAAACAAGAUUAAUGAAGGACAGGGGUGAGAGAUUUAACUUACUAUGUACCAAUAAUUACUCAAAAUAAUAUUUUUAAAAAUAAAUAUGUAAAUAGACAAAUUACUUGCCUGCUAGGCUGUAUUUAAUUAUAAAUUCAUGUUUGAAGUGACAUAUAUUGUGAGGGUCAUAGGAAAUAAACUUUUAAAAGUUUUACAAAGUGUUACAAAAUUUAAGACAUUAUACUAUCAUAUUUUGUGCGCAUCAUUAUAUUUUACAACAUAAUAAUGAAAAGUAACUAAAAUAUUACUAUAAAAAAAAGUUGACCUCACCACACACCAACUGAUAAGUUUAGUGUUAUUCCAUUUUUUUUUUUAACAUGAGAUCUUUUUUUUCUAACUUAUUCUCUCCUGGGUAGAAAAAGUAGUAGGCAAGAGAAAUGUUGGGUUGGAUUUCCCACUAUAGCCCUGCAUAUUUUACAAGGUGAAGCUCAGGAAUGGACAAGUAUAAUCCCAAUAGGUUCUAGAGCUUUAUUUCCUGAGCUGAAUAAAACUCAGGAUUGAUAUUAUACAUAGUAAGGUAGAGUAGAUUAAGUUUUUACGAACCUAUGCAUUGCAAGUACAGUAUGGUCUUUUACCCUUUUAAACACAAAAUCCAAAUAGGAUUACUUUUUUUUUUUUUGUCGUAUUCUAGGGCCACAUCCACAACAUAUGGAGGUUCCCAGGCCAGGGAUUGAACUUGCACCACAGCUGCUACCUGCACCACAGGGGCAGCAAUGCUGUAUCCUUAACCUGCUGUAUCACAUAGGGACUUUCUAAUCACACGAGUUCUUAAAAGUAGAGAAAACUUUCCUAGCUAUGAUCAGAGAACCAGAGAAAUAGCAGCAUAAGGACUCAAUCUCCUUCAAAAAUUGCUGUUUUUGAAGAUGGCGGAUGGAAGUCAUAAGGCAGGGAAUGUGGUCAGAUUCUGGAACUUGGAAAAGGCAAGGACAUGGGUUCCCUCUUAGAAUUUCUAGAAAUCAUUGUAGCUUUGCCAACACCUUGAUUUUAGCCCUGUGAGACCCAUGUCAGACUUCUGACCUAAAGAACUGAAGAUAAUAAAUCUAUAUUGUUUAAGCCUCUAAGGUAAUUUUGUGGUCAUUUGUUAUGGCAGCAAUGAAAAACUUAUAGUCUUCAUCACCUCAAGCUUGGAUCAGCACAAUACAAAAUUUUCCAAUUUACCCAGCUUCUCAGGUCUCUGGGUCAUCUUAGAAACCCUUACUUACCAAACUCUUGUCAACCGUCACUCUACUCAUUCAACUUCUCUGUUCAAGAGAGCCUACAAAUGGAAAUAUUUUCAAACCAAGCUCCUUCAAACAUCAGAACUUCUGGAACUGCCAAAGUUCGAGACGGAAAGUUAGUGAAUUCUGCUGAAGAUGACCUGAAAAGAUUCCUUGAGAGACUGGUCAACAGAAAUUUCCAGGAGCUUCUUCACCAAACAUGGUUAACAAUAGGAAUACUCAGGUUGGUCUAUAAAGUCUUGCAGUAUUUACCAGUUACACUGCCCUACUGAUAAAAUCAGUCAUGAGCUAGAGUGAAAUCAGUGCUGCUACUCUGGCCAGAGUGGACCAUACAAUUAAAUCUCUGAACCAGGGGCUAGUCAGCAGGGAUGGUUAUGUGACAACACAUUAUAUGGCUAAUUUUCCAGUCCUAUCAGAUGCUCUUUGAAGAUGAAAGAGGGAGACAUGAUUUGAAAGAGAUCAUGUAAGCCAGGAGAGACAG